rnacentral:misc_RNA from 1 species
UUUUAAAGCUUGAAUCGAGUAAAGUGAGGCUCUGCUUAUAGUAUUCGCGGUAAUAAUCUCUUAUUAAGGAGAAUCUGGAUUGCUGUUAUAAUUCUUGAUUAUGGCACUCAACAAUCAAAGUUACCUCUGCACUUGAAGAUGGGUCCGAGAGAGUAAAUGCGUGAGUGGAUAUAAGCACUAAGCAGAAUGUGUGACAUGAAUGGUUCCGGGG